GAUCAUGGCUCAGGAUGAACGCUGACAGAAUGCUUAACACAUGCAAGUCUACUUGAUCCUUCGGGUGAUGGUGGCGGACGGGUGAGUAACGCGUAAAGAACUUGCCCUGCAGUCUGGGACAACAUUUAGGAAACGAAUGCUAAUACCGGAUAUUAUGUGAGUUUCGCAUGAAAUUCACAUGAAAGCUAUAUGCGCUGCAGGAGAGCUUUGCGUCCUAUUAG
rnacentral:rRNA from 1 species